ACCAGCAAGAGCAAGAAGUAUUGGCAGCAGCAGGCAGCCAGGCAGGCUGGGAGUUUGCAUGGAAAUCAUGAAGUCUUUCUUGUCUUCCUCUUUUGAAAUAUUUUGGAAGGCGAGUUAAGAAUAGCUCAGAAACUGGUCUCAUUCUUUUUGUGGGAAGAAUGACCAGAAGCAUAAAAGCUAAGUCUUCCAGCAAGUGCAAGACACCUCUUUUGGUGUUUGCAGUAAACCUAACAAGAAUGAAUUGCUAUCAGUAAAGUCCUGUACCAUGACACCUAAAAGGAAGGAAAUGGUAAAGCAAAGUAAUAACUCAAAGACAGUCACCGAGGGCUUUUGUCCACCUUUAACUCAUUGUGGAACUUGACAUCAUCAGACAGUAAAUCAAGAGGUACUGACAACUGAGACUGAGUGAUGGUCCCUGCCUAGGAUUUGGAAUCUUUGCAUGAAAUAGGGACUCUAGCCACCAGCGACAAAGAAGUCAGGGAGACUGCGGUCUCUAGGAAGCACUUCCAGGAAACAGGAAUUCAGGCAAAGUUGGACAUUCCAAAGAUGGCGUAGAUGAACAUGACCAGGAAGAGCAGGAGGCCGAUGUUAAACAACGCAGGAAGGGACAUCAUCAAAGCAAAGAGCAGCGUGCGGAUCCCCUUUGCUCCUUUGACUAGACGUAGGAUUCGGCCAAUCCUGGCAAGACGGAUCACUCGGAACAGGGUAGCAGAGAUCUCUGGAGGUGAAACAUUGCUCUGAACUGGCAUUGAUUCUAGCCCAGCUCUUGUAGACCAAUUACCAACUUGUAAGUAAACAUGUUCAUGAUUCUUCAUUCUGACAAGCCCAUGCUUCUCAGUCUUCAUGUGGAAACUAUGCAUUUCCAGUUUUUAAGCACCCAAUGUUCAAUCCAUCAACAAAUCCCUUCAGCUCUAACUUCAAAAUAUACUCAGCAUGUCACACCCUCACUAUACAAAACUCUACCAUACUAGUCUAAGCUCCCAUCACCUCUCACCUGGAUUUAUGCAGAAACUCCAAGAAAUCUUCCAGCUUCUGCCAUUGCUAUUCGCCCUUCCACUCUUAAGAUUGCACAUUGUGAGAUUUUAAAAUCACAUCCUUAUAAUGUUCUUCAAAUGUCUUAUAAUCUGGCCUCUACUACAUCUCUGAUCUACACUUUUUAAAAAUAAUGUCAUUUGUUUUAUUUGUUUGUUUGUUGGAGACAGAGUCUUCCUCUGUCGUCCAGGCUGGAGUGCAGUGGCACAAUCUUGGCUCACUGCAACCUCUGCCUCCUGGAUUCAAGUAAUUCUCGUGCCUCAGCCUCACAAGUAGCUGGGAUUAUAGGCAUGUAUCACCAAGAUCAAUUAAUUUUUUUUUCAUUUUCAGUAAAAAUGGGGUUUCGCUACGUUGGCCAGGCUGGUCUUGAACUCCUGGCCUCAAGUGAUCGCCCACCUCGGCCUCCCAAAGUACUGGAAUUAUAGGUGUGAGCCACUUCACCCAGCCUCUGACCUUAACUUUUAAUCCUCUUCCCAUCUUUCAUUAUUCUCCAUCUAUUUUGGCCUCUUGGUUUUUCCCAAAUGUUAUGCAUAUCCUCACCUUGGGGCAUGUGCCUUCAUUACUCUGCCUAAAAUACUUUCCCUCCAUAUAUUUGCACGGCCCCCUUCAAUUUUCUUUACAUCACGGAAGAAACGCCACCUUUAUAGGCAGGCUUUCUCUGACCAAUCAUUCAUUGAUAGCAUAUUUAUGUGCUAGUAAGUUCUUCCCCCUCACUCUUGGUAUUCCUCUUUUCCAUAUACCUUCUCCAUAGCACUUUUCACUUAUCUGACCUGCUACAUCUUGAUAUGUUUCUUCAGCAAGGGGUAUUGUUUUGUUCACAGCUCCAUCUCCCUCCAGUGCCUGGAACUGGACCUGGCACACAGGCAAAGGGUUAUCAACUGUGCUGCACUCUGAGGAGCUUGACCGGUUUAAUCUCUAGAAAGGAAUUCACCACCCCACCAGCACGCGGAACACAAUCAGGAAGGAGUGGAAGAAGUCGUUCAUGUGCCACCGUGGGAGCGUACAGUCAUCAUUGAUCUUGCAGACACAUUCUUUGUAGCUCUUACCAAAGAGCUGCAUGCCGACCACAGCAAAAAUGAAGACGAUGAUGGCCAACACUAAGCCUUUAGACUAAAAAGAAAACAAAUAUUACAUACCCUGAAUCUGUGCUGAAACCACAAAGGAGAGCAUCUUUGGAUCCUUCCAAGUAAUAAAAAUAUUCUGUUGAAGAAGAAUUUGAACAGUUAUAACAUCACAGACUUUAAUCUGUGAUUGUGAUAAAGGAGGUCAAAUUAAAAAAUCUGAUUAUUGGGAGACUUUUGGAGUAAUCAUGGAAGAAAGACUAUGAAAUCAGAUAUUCUUGGAUUUGAAUGUUGCUUCUAUCCCUUCUUAAGUAAGUGAAUUAUCUUUAAGCCAUUAAGCCUUAGCUGCUGCAUCUGUAAAAUACGUAUAAGAAUACCUACUUUAUAAAGUUGUUAAAUAGUAUAAAUAGGAUAUUGCAUGUAAACCACUUGAUACUGUGAUCCACACAUUCUGUACUAGCUGCUCAAAAACAGGAGUUAUUAUAAUUAGUUAAACUAUUAUACAAUUUGAGAUAAAACUAUUGAUUGAAUUACACAUCAUCAUUUUAUCUUACUUAGAAGACACAGAUAAAACAAUAAAGCCUUGCAGUUUGAGGUGCAAAUGUAGGUGAAAAUGUGCAUGAAAAGCUUUCCUGAAAACACUCCUGAACCUCGGGAAGGAUGGGCCUGGUAGAGUGAGUAUGGGAGAGGAUAAGAUGCAAUUUUGCAUACAUAAACAUCCAAAAUAUUUUAAUAAGGAUGGAUUACUUUAGAAUUAUCCUUUAAACUAAUGCUGGUUCACAUUUAUCAACCACUGAGGAGCUGAAUUAUAUGAAUGGGCUCUGGAGCUGUCUAUUAGCACACUGCUAUACUACUGUAUUUAACACAGUAUAAGAAUGAUGAAAGGUAAAGCAAUGCAGGUAGCUCACUCUAGGUUUGUAGAAAACUUUACAAUAAUUUCUAAACAACUAGACAUUAAAUUAUUAAGAUGGUUGGCUUCAAGAAGAUUUAAGGUUAACAUCUUUAAAAAUGGGAAAAAAUUGAAUGCAAAGAAAAAUGAAAUAUUGCUUGUGCAUAUUCAAAAGUGGGAUGAUUCUGAAAGAUAAAGAAUGAAUCACGGCCGGGCGCAGUGGCUCACGCCUGUAAUGCCAGCACUUUGGGAGGUCGAGGCGGGCAGAUCACGA
ensembl:lncRNA SCN1A-AS1 SCN1A and SCN9A antisense RNA 1